GCCGGGUGUGGUGGCGGGCGCCUGUAGUCCCAGCUACUUGGGAGGCUGAGGCAGGAGAAUUGCUUGAACCUGGGCAAUGGAGGUUGCAGUGAGCCGAGAUUGCGCCACUGCACUCCAGCCUGGGUGACAGAGCAAGACUCUGUCUCGG
ensembl:misc_RNA Metazoa_SRP Metazoan signal recognition particle RNA